GUGAAAAGUACCCCGGGAGGGGAGUGAAAUAGAACCUGAAACCGUGUGCCUACAACAAGUUCGAGCCCGUUAAUGGGUGAGAGCGUGCCUUUUGUAGAAUGAACCGGCGAGUUACGAUAUGAUGCGAGGUUAAGUUGAAGAGACGGAGCCGUAGGGAAACCGAGUCUUAAUAGGGCGAGUUAGUAUCAUGUCGUAGACCCGAAACCAUGUGACCUACCCAUGAGCAGGUUGAAGGUGAGGUAAAACUCACUGGAGGACCGAACCAGGGCACGUUAAAAAGUGCUUGGAUGACUUGUGGGUAGCGGAGAAAUUCCAAACGAACUUGGAGAUAGCUGGUUCUCUCCGAAAUAGCUUUAGGGCUAGCGUCGAUGUUAAGUCUCUUGGAGGUAGAGCACUGUUUGGGUGAGGGGUCCAUCCCGGAUUACCAAUCUCAGAUAAACUCCGAAUGCCAAUGAGAUAUAAUCGGCAGUCAGACUGCGAGUGCUAAGAUCCGUAGUCGAAAGGGAAACAGCCCAGACCACCAGCUAAGGUCCCAAAAUAUAUGUUAAGUGGAAAAGGAUGUG
rnacentral:rRNA from 1 species